GACGAACGCUGGCGGCGUGGAUUAGGCAUGCAAGUCGAACGGUAUCAUCCUUUCGGGGGUGAGAGAGUGGCGAACUGGUGAGUAACACGUAGGUUAUCUACCCUCAAGACGGGGACAACCCAGGGAAACUUGGGCUAAUACCGGAUGUGAGCAACUUUUAGUUGUUUGAAAGGUGGCGUAAGCUGUCGCUUGGGGAUGAGCCUGCGUCCUAUUAGUUAGUUGGUGAGGUAACGGCUCACCUAGGCAAUGAUAGGUAGGCGGCCUUAACGGGUGGUCGCCCACACUGGGAUUGAGAUACGGCCCAGACUCCUACGGGAGGCAGCAGUCGAGAAUAGUCUACAAUGGUCGGAAGACUGAUAGUGCGACGCCGCGUGAACGAUGAAUCCCUUCGGGGUGUAAAGUUCUUUUAUAUGUGAGCAAGUGCUUCGUUAUAUUAACAGUAUGGGGAGAAGAGAUAUUAGCAUAUGAAUAAGCAACGGCUAACUCCGUGCCAGCAGCCGCGGUAAACACG
rnacentral:rRNA from 1 species